rnacentral:piRNA from 1 species
UGAAGCAAGCCAAGUCUGUGGGUGACCUCGCC